rnacentral:lncRNA from 1 species
UUUUUAAUUAUUUUUCUUGAUUUUCCAAAUAAGUAAUGCAAUCAAGCUAACUCUAUCCUAAAGUUAUCCUAAAUCUUGAUAGCUCGUAACUGCCAAAGUCACCUUCGAGUAUUCUAAAUAAAAGACUAGCUACUCAAUUGGCCAAGUAAGUAUAAGGUUGGUGGGUGUCUCCUCAUUGCUUUUCUUAGACACCAACUAAGUUGGCC